UACCGCUUGAGCCGUAUCCCCAGCCCAUGAAUUUUUUAAUGCAGGUAUGAUAGUAUUCUUCAAAGUUAUUUCUAUAGUGCUCAGAAAUUAAGGGCAAUUUUACAAUGGUACUGAAAAAACUGUAAAAAUGAUACUAAAUUGCAGAGAAACAAUUAUCAAUUUGCAUGUUGUAGUAUUGUACAGAGAACCUGAAAUUAGUUUUUAAGCUGAAGGAAACUAUUUCUCUUAAUAUAGAAAAUAACAUAGCUCAUGUCUAAGUAGCAUUUGCUAAAUCAUGAGCUUAGGCAAGAUGAUUCAAGAAAAGUAUAAAAUUCUGCAAAAGAUUCUUCUAGCUAAAGCUGAGUUCUUCUAAGUACUGGGUCAGCCAGGUCUUGGACAGACUUUUCUGCUCUUGAGUUAAUUGAUAUGAGGUAAUUGAUUUCCUAGCCAGAAGCCAAGAUUAUUUCCAAGAUAGAACAAAGGCUUAUGGUCUCUUUCAAACUAAUUUAAAUCAGGGUUAUAACUUUCCAGUGCACUAAAGAUUGCAAGCUUUGUGUUUUUAAGCUAGGUCUGUAACUAUCCUCAUAUAUAUACCUAAAAUACUCACAUCUUUCCUGUAUCUCAGUAUCAUCAUCUCUAAAACACUACAUUUCUCUAAGCAACAUCUUUCUGAUCUUUAAAACUAUUGAAUGUAAAAUUGCUGAGGAAGCCAUUUGGGAUAAUUGCAUAAAAAUGAAAAAUAGGGAGGAGAAGAGGAGAGAGGGGGAAGAGAGAAGGGGAGAAUGUAACAGGUAUGUAUCAAGAGAGAUUUAAAUAUGAAACUAGGGAUUUUUCUAUCAAACAAGGAUUUACAUAUUGCACAAAAAAUGUUGUCUUUCUAUGAAUUUAGAAUAUUUUGCUGUUUUUCGCAGUCAUCAUCAGAAUACAAAUUAAUUGGAUUACAUGGCUUAAAAUUCAUUAAAAAUAUUGGGAGCAGGAGGCAGGGAAUGUGGAAUUCUGUUAUAGGAGUAGGACCUGGUAUUAAUCAAAACCCUGAUUUUUUUCAACUCAACUUCACAGACAAGUCCUAAAUAAUUCUCUUUAUUCUCUAGGUUAGAUUGAACCCUGACCCAGAGAGUUGCCCUAAUCCAAUUGGGAUAAAAUAUAAAUGCAACCUGGGCUUUGAAGGACACUUUGUAAGCACAAAGGCAUGUUGUGUUUGAAGCAUCAGGACCAGAAAUUACUUGAAUCUGAUUUUCAGGUGUACAAGAGGCCAAUGUAAUAUGAGGAUUACAAGAAAUGGAAAAUGUGAGAUGUGCUGCAGAAUCUUGGAUGGACUUGAGCAUGUGAUGGAUGUAUGGAGAAGAACAGCCAAGGAGCUGUUAAGUGAGGACUGGAGCCACAGCCCAAAUCUUGGCAGUCAAGGGAAAACAUCAGCAGAUUUGGAAAAGAUUAAACAAAUCACAAUAAAAAGACAUCCCAGUUCAAAGGGGCUUGGUGAGGAAGAGUCAUGGCCUAGACACUGGAGGCUGACAGUUAGGCACCACCUAAUAAUCAAAGAACAAUGAUCAUCUCUCAGCCCUCAAAGCACUGACUAAAAUGAUGUUUGAGGUACCCAAGGCCACUACCUACUCAAGAGUAUAGGUAAUACUGAAAUCUUCACCUCUUUUUCUGAUUUAUUAUGAUUAUUUACACUGUUACAGUAGAAACAUGGUUAGUAAUAUGACUAAAUAAAAAACAUUUCUGGCUUAAUUUUCACAUGUAUAAAAAUAAUACCAGUGGAUUGUGUGAAUAUGUGUACCAUUUUGUAAUAAUCUUAAACUGUAAUUUAUACCCAAUUUUAGUACUGUUUUCUUAUUUUUCUCUUGUUUCAAUUGUGCCAAUUCAAGCUUGUGUGAAUUACUGUAAACCUUAUUUGGGGUCACUCAGAUUUGCUGUUUUCAAAUUUAUAUAUUCCAACUAUUUUGUUUUAGAUUUGUUUAUUCAGUUAUCUUUAUUAUAUCUUCUUCCUUUCCUCAUA